rnacentral:rRNA from 1 species
UACGUAGGGGGCUAGCGUUGUCCGGAAUCAUUGGGCGUAAAGAGCGUGUAGGCGGCCCGGUAAGUCCGCUGUGAAAGUCGGGGGCUCAACCCUCGGAUGCCGGUGGAUACUGUCGGGCUCGAGUACGGAAGAGGCGAGUGGAAUUCCCGGUGUAGCGGUGAAAUGCGCAGAUAUCAGGAGGAACACCUAUUGCGAAGGCAGCUCGCUGGGACGUUACUGACGCUGAGACGCGAAAGCAUGGGGAGCGAACAGG